GCCGAUGUGGUGGAAUUGGUAGACACGCUAUCUUGAGGGGGUAGUGGCGAGAGCUGUGCCGGUUCGACUCCGGCCAUCGGCACCA
rnacentral:tRNA from 2 species